rnacentral:tRNA from 1 species
GGAGAUAUAGCUCAGUUGGUAGAGUGCUUGCCUUGUAUGCACAGACCCCUGAGUUCAAGCCCCAGCACCGCCC